rnacentral:rRNA from 1 species
GAUGAACGCUAGCGGCAGGCCUAAUACAUGCAAGUCGGACGGGAUCUAGAUCUAAGCUUGCUUAGAUUUAGUGAGAGUGGCGCACGGGUGCGUAACGCGUGAGCAACCUACCCAUAUCCGGGGGAUAGCCCGGAGAAAUCCGGAUUAAGACCGCAUAACAUAACGACUCGGCAUCGAGAUGUUGUUAAAUAUUUAUAGGAUAUGGAUGGGCUCGCGUGACAUUAGCUAGUUGGUAAGGUAACGGCUUACCAAGGCUACGAUGUCUAGGGGCUCUGAGAGGAGAAUCCCCCACACUGGUACUGAGACACGGACCAGACUCCUACGGGAGGCAGCAGUAAGGAAUAUUGGUCAAUGGAGGGAACUCUGAACCAGCCAUGCCGCGUGCAGGAUGACUGCCCUAUGGGUUGUAAACUGCUUUUGUCCAGGAAUAACCACCACUACGUGUAGUGGCUUGAAUGUACUGGAAGAAUAAGGAUCGGCUAACUCCGUGCCAGCAGCCGCGGUAAUACGGAGGAUCCGAGCGUUAUCCGGAUUUAUUGGGUUUAAAGGGUGCGUAGGCGGCUCAUUAAGUCAGGGGUGAAAGACGGCAGCUCAACUGUCGCAGUGCCUUUGAUACUGAUGAGCUUGAAUGUGGUUGAAGAUGGCGGAAUGAGACAAGUAGCGGUGAAAUGCAUAGAUAUGUCUCAGAACUCCGAUUGCGAAGGCAGCUGUCUAAGUCAUUAUUGACGCUGAUGCACGAAAGCGUGGGGAUCGAACAGGAUUAGAUACCCUGGUAGUCCACGCCCUAAACGAUGAUAACUCGAUGUUGGCGAUACACAGUCAGCGUCUUAGCGAAAGCGUUAAGUUAUCCACCUGGGGAGUACGCCCGCAAGGGUGAAACUCAAAGGAAUUGACGGGGGCCCGCACAAGCGGAGGAGCAUGUGGUUUAAUUCGAUGAUACGCGAGGAACCUUACCCGGGCUUGAAAGUUACUGAAUUAUCUAGAGAUAGAUAAGUCCUUCGGGACAGGAAACUAGGUGCUGCAUGGCUGUCGUCAGCUCGUGCCGUGAGGUGUUGGGUUAAGUCCCGCAACGAGCGCAACCCCUAUGUUUAGUUGCCAGCAUGUAAUGAUGGGGACUCUAAACAGACUGCCAGCGUAAGCUGUGAGGAAGGUGGGGACGACGUCAAGUCAUCAUGGCCCUUACGUCCGGGGCUACACACGUGCUACAAUGGAUGGUACAGCGGGCAGCUACCUGGUAACAGGAUGCUAAUCUCGAAAAGCCAUUCACAGUUCGGAUUGAGGUCUGCAACUCGACCUCAUGAAGUUGGAUUCGCUAGUAAUCGCGUAUCAGCAAUGACGCGGUGAAUACGUUCCCGGGCCU